UGAGCCAUGAAUUACACAUAUGAUGUUUGUCAGUUUAAAUGAUAAUUUAGCACGUCAAGAAACCUUCAGUUUGUCAUAAAACUGUAAAGUAUCAGAAUGUGAAAAUACGUCAUUAGAAAGACUCCACACUUCAAAGUGUCAUGGCUGACGUCUCUCUGAAGCUACGACGCCUGUGUGUUUGGUAGAAGGAUGUAACGUUACUCACACGAGCAAAGGAUUUCUUUCUCUGGGUAUCAGGCAGCAAAGGUGGAACAAGACCCAGACUCAACGGGAACGUUUGAAAAGGUUUAUUUCAGAAUCCACCUGUCAGGGAGGAGGUGGAACCUCCCAUGAUGCCGCUGGCUCAGGAGGAAGCACCCUGAAGGAGGAGGAGGCAGACGGAGAGUCAGCAUCUACUGGAGGAAUCAACUAUUCUAAAAAGUGAUCCACUUGUUUAAAUCACUUCUUUAACUGCAUAGUGGAUGGACCUGGG